rnacentral:rRNA from 1 species
GUAGUCCACGCCCUAAACGAUGUCGACUAGUUGUUGGUCCUUCAGUGGAUCGGUAACGCAGCUAACGCGUGAAGUCGACCGCCUGGGGAGUACGGUCGCAAGAUUAAAACUCAAAGGAAUUGACGGGGACCCGCACAAGCGGUGGAUGAUGUGGAUUAAUUCGAUGCAACGCGAAAAACCUUACCUACCCUUGACAUGUCAGGAACCUGGCCGAGAGGUUGGGGUGCCCGCAAGGGAGCCUGAACACAGGUGCUGCAUGGCUGUCGUCAGCUCGUGUCGUGAGAUGUUGGGUUAAGUCCCGCAACGAGCGCAACCCUUGUCCUUAGUUGCUACCCGUUAAGGGGGCACUCUAGGGAGACUGCCGGUGACAAACCGGA